rnacentral:rRNA from 1 species
UAUCUCUGUAGAGUCUGCAUAUCAAUAAGCGGAGGAAAAGAAACUAACUAGGAUUCCCUCAGUAACGGCGAGUGAAGCGGGAAGAGCUCAAAUUUGAAAUCUUCAAGGUUCUACCUUGACGAAUUGUAGUUUAAAGAAGUGUUUUCUGUUGGAGUUUUGGUAAAAGUUCUUUGGAAUAGGACAUCAUAGAGGGUGAGAAUCCCGUAUUUGACCAUUAUUUCCAACUUUGUGAUACACUUUCAAAGAGUCGGAUUGUUUGGGAAUGCAGUCCAAAAUGGGUGGUAAAUUUCAUCUAAAGCUAAAUAUUGGCGAGAGACCGAUAGCGAACAAGUACCGUGAGGGGAAGAUGAAAAGAACUUUGAAAAGAGAGUUAAACAGUACGUGAAAUUGUCAAAAGGGAAGCGUUUGACACCAGUGUUGUUUUCUCGAAAAUCAAUUAAAAAUGGCUUGAUUUUGUGUUGUAUUGACCUUAAAAGCUUUCUGCACUUUUUUCAUGUCUUUUUUAAUGCACUUUUCGUUUAACAAGUCAACAUCAGUUUCUUUUGUUGUAAAAAGGUCAUUGGAAGGUGGCUUUCUUUUCGGAGAAAGUGUUUAUAGCCUUUGACUCCUGCAAUCGGAGAGACUGAGGUCUGCAGCGUAGAUCCUUCUUGGAUUAGAUUCAUUUGUGCUAAGUUAUAGCUUUUUAUAGACAACUUGUUGACUAUAUUUAGUCUUGUAGCUUACUCGCUUAUGCAAUUUUACCUACGCUUAGGAUGUUGAACGCGCACAGAGUCUC